rnacentral:rRNA from 1 species
GAGUUUGAUCAUGGCUCAGGAUGAACGCUAGCGGCAGGCUUAAUACAUGCAAGUCGAGGGGCAGCGCGGGUAGCAAUACUUGGCGGCGACCGGCAAACGGGUGCGGAACACGUACGCAACCUUCCCAAAACUGGGGAAUAGCCCUCCGAAAGGAGGAUUAAUACCCCGUAACACAAUUAAGAGGCAUCUCUUGAUUGUUAUAGCUCAGGCGGUUUUGGAUGGGCGUGCGGCUGAUUAGGUAGUUGGCGGGGUAACGGCCCACCAAGCCAUCGAUCAGUAACUGGUGUGAGAGCACGACCAGUCACACGGGCACUGAGACACGGGCCCGACUCCUACGGGAGGCAGCAGUAAGGAAUAUUGGUCAAUGGACGCAAGUCUGAACCAGCCAUGCCGCGUGAAGGAUGAAGGCCCUCUGGGUUGUAAACUUCUUUUAUCUGGGACGAAAAAAGGGGAUUCUUCCUCACUUGACGGUACCAGAGGAAUAAGCACCGGCUAACUCCGUGCCAGCAGCCGCGGUAAUACGGAGGGUGCAAGCGUUAUCCGGAUUCACUGGGUUUAAAGGGUGCGUAGGUGGGCAGGUAAGUCAGUGGUGAAAUCUUCGAGCUUAACUCGGAAACUGCCAUUGAUACUAUCUGUCUUGAAUAUCCUGGAGGUGAGCGGAAUAUGUCAUGUAGCGGUGAAAUGCUUAGAUAUGACAUAGAACACCAAUUGCGAAGGCAGCUCACUACGGGAUGAUUGACGCUGAGGCACGAAAGCGUGGGGAUCAAACAGGAUUAGAUACCCUGGUAGUCCACGCCCUAAACGAUGGAUACUCGACAUAUGCGAUACACUGUAUGUGUCUGAGCGAAAGCAUUAAGUAUCCCACCUGGGAAGUACGACCGCAAGGGUGAAACUCAAAGGAAUUGACGGGGGUCCGCACAAGCGUGGAGCAUG